UGUUAAAAAUUUUAUCCAAUUGUACUAUUAAAAAUUGACCUGGCUAAUAGAUUAAUCAGACUGUGAAUCAAUUUUUAACUGUAAAAAUAGAUAAAUUUUUUAAUA
rnacentral:pre_miRNA from 1 species